GACGAACCGUGCGAACGUUGUUCGGAAUCACUGGGCUUAAAGGGCGCGUAGGCGGGUCGUCAAGUCAGGGGUGAAAUCCUGCGGCUCAACCGCAGAAGUGCCUUUGAUACUGACGGUCUCGAGGGAGGUAGGGGCGUGUGGAACUUCCGGUGGAGCGGUGAAAUGCGUAGAUAUCGGAAGGAACGCCGGUGGCGAAAGCGACGCGCUGGACCUCUUCUGACGCUGAGGUGCGAAAGCGUGGGGAGCAAACAGG
rnacentral:rRNA from 1 species